AUGGCCAUAUCACUUUAAAACAUUAGAUCCCAUAUGAUCACUGAAGUUAAGCAAUGUUGAGCUUGGUCAGUUCCUAGAUGGAUGAAUGCUUGGGAAUACCAGGUGCUGUAAG